rnacentral:rRNA from 1 species
UACAGAGGUCCCAAGCGUUGUUCGGAUUCAUUGGGCGUAAAGGGUGCGUAGGCGGCGCGGUAAGUCGGGUGUGAAAUCUCGGAGCUUAACUCCGAAACUGCAUUCGAUACUGCCGUGCUUGAGGACUGGAGAGGAGACUGGAAUUUACGGUGUAGCAGUGAAAUUCGUAGAUAUCAAGCGGAACACCGGUGGCGAAGGCGGCCUUCUGGACAGUGACUGACGCUGAGACGCGAAAGCGUGGGGAGCAAACAGG